rnacentral:rRNA from 1 species
AGGAUUAACGCUGGCGGCGUGCCUAACACAUGCAAGUCGAACGAGGUAGCAAUACCUAGUGGCAGACGGGUGAGUAACGCGUGGUCAACCUACCGUUGAGUGGGGGAUAACUAGCCGAAAGGUUAGCUAAUACCGCAUACGAGUCUCGGGGGCAUCCCUGGGCCUUAAAAGGAGCAAUCCGCUCGAUGACGGGACCGCGUCCCAUUAGCUAGAUGGUGGGGUAACGGCCUACCAUGGCACCGAUGGGUAGCUGGUUUGAGAGAGCGACCAGCCACACUGGGACUGAGAAACGGCCCAGACUCCUACGGGAGGCAGCAGUGAGGAAUUUUCCGCAAUGGGCGAAAGCCUGACGGAGCGACGCCGCGUGUGGGAAGAAGGCCUUGGGUCGUAAACCACUGUCGAAGGGGACGAUAAUGACGGUACCCUUGGAGGAAGCCCCGGCUAACUACGUGCCAGCAGCCGC